UACGCUUGAAAGUUAAUGCGAUACGCUUCUGUCGUAUUCAUGUAAACGCCGCUAGUGCCGCGCUUAGGCAUCCGGUGUCACGGCGGUCACUGCUGUAACUGUGGGGCCAGCACGGGAGUAUUCUGCAAUGCAAUCCCCGAGCUCAGCUAGCUUCUCCAAUGGCAUGUGGGCUGCAGCAGCCAGGACAGGAAGAAGGUUUUGUGGCAGACGCUGCAGAAAUAACUCGCAAAGUAGAGGACUCUCGGAAUCUUGCAUGCUGUCGCCGAGUAGCUGGCGCAUUCGGUGGAACAGCUGAGAUUGUCGUCGGUCUCCCAGCUCCUCCGUGUUGAGAAGUUGCUGCAGACGGCUGCGAUCUGAAACUGUUUUGCGCAUCAGAACAAUGGUCUUGAAAUGGUCGUAUGGUUGGGUUGCGUGUGGAAGGCUCAGCAUGUCGUCAAAUUCAUCCGCAACUUUAGAUGGUAGUGUCAGUGAUGAUACUGGCCUUGGCCAUUUCGUAGCAGGCAAAAAUGCUUUUUGUAGCGGUAAAACUGGCUUUCGGAGCAGGCAGAAAUUCUUUUCUUGGAGCAGUAAAAUGGUGCUUUUGGAGCAGUAAAACGAGCGUUCGAAGCGGGUGUCUGUUGAAACAAUUGCAAAACAUAUGUACAGCUUUCACAGCAAGCAAAUAAUAGGAAAGCAAGAAGUGCUGAGUGGUGUUCUAUCAUAGCCAAAAUAUAACAAACGCAACUUCUUUUAAUUAUUAAUACCACCAACUAGUCUAGAUUUAACUAAAGUUACCAGACAAACAAUGUGUAAAUAUACAAUUAUUGCACUUUAUUAUGAGAUGUCUUAAGGCAACUAGACUAUCACAGCAACUUGGGUAAAUAUUUGCACGUACUUGUACAGGAAGGAUCACAGGAACAGAUCUGAUAAUUAAAUAUCACAGCAGUGGCCUUUCACAAAGGAAAUAGAAUACACUCACAUGGUUGUGCCUAGGCAAUGUGACUGAUAAAGCUGUCAUGAAACAAAGCAAUGAAUAUAUGCUCAUGGGACUAGCACGACUUGUGAACAAACGUUUUACAAAAAGGAAUACUCAAAAUAGUGAGGCAACGUGACUAAACAACAAUCCUCUUACGAGACAAACCAAGGAAUACAAUUAUCCUAGUGAGGCAACAUUACUAGCAAGCAAACCUUGUUGAUAAUACAACAAGGAACCCAGUAAUGAGAGGCAGCAUGACUAGAGAACAAACCUUUUACAAAACAUACCAGAGAAUACACUCAAUUGGGUGAAACAGCAGGACUAGUGAACAACUGUGUGUAUAGUCACGAGUGAGGCAGCUUGACUAGCAAAAAAAUCUUUAACAAAAAAAGAAAAAAAAGCAGAGAAUACACUCACUUUAGUGAAACUGCAUGACUAACUGUGCGGGCCUAAACAUACCACAGCGGGAACAAUAACACCUUGACAGAGAACCCCAUUUAUGAAAACAUAUCUACUAAAUUUAAGCAGACAUGAAUAUACAGAAGCACAGCAAUGAAUAUGAAGAAAAUUCUGGUUAUGUGCUCUAAUAAACUGCCAACUAAAAAGUCCAAUGAAGAAAAUUUCCACAAGUUUCAACAUCAGUCAGGCUUGUGUCCACGAAACUACUGUGAAACACCCGGAAAAGUACUUCACGUGCGUGCAGCCAUAUUCCUUCUUUUACUUUCAGCCAUCUUUUCAAGGGCCACUGCAAGUCUAGAUUUGUCCUCAGUCAGAAGAGAACUGCCACUUUCAAUGUCACCAAAGUCCUUUGACUUGAGGCCACGGCUAAUUAAAAGUGCAGCAUUUGUUAGCAUCUUCAUUGCGGUUUCUACUUCCUUUUGAAGGUCUGCUUGAUCACCGCUGCUUGAGCCUGCCUCAUCUGCCUUGCAUUGCCGCUUCGCUGACUGCUCUUCCUCAGAAGCAGUGCAAUCAGAGUACAGUUUCUUUGCGUUCUGCACAACUCUAACAAUUUCAGGCAUAAUGCUGAAACGGCUGGGGUCACUAUUGAAGCGCUUGCCAUAGGACACAACAUGACGUAUCCCACUGAUGCUCUCUACCGUUAGCCGUGCCCUGUCAUGAAGAAGUCUACGAUUCUCACUAAAAUCCCUUUCGACUGAAGCAAGGUUUAGGUACGGGCUAGUUGGUAUUCCAUGGUAUCAAUUGUCACUUACAGCGCAUACAUAGACGAAGGACAGAAACGAUGACGAAGACAAGCGCUGACUUCCAACUGAUUUUUAUUUUCAGAAACAAACGUAUAUAUCCUGAGACACCAAGACAAAAGCGCCACCUACAAAGCGCCAACCCAACAUGAGGAACACAAACUGAAGACACAAGCGUGGCAAGCAAGAGCUUUUCAGUGAUCGUGUACCUAGUGAAUGAAUCCGGUGCAUCAACCCAAGUGACCCUAUUAAGUCGUGUGGUUGCAGCAUUCGGCACAAGCCAGAGGAAAGGAUCAGCUACCUGAAAAUGAAGUCACCGAAACUAUGCGCAUCGCUUCACUACGAAUUCAUGUUAAGCAGGCAAUCAACCGAAUGAAGACGUACAAAAUUUUCAAGCAAGUACUGGCCAUCAAGUGAAGAACGUGCCAGCAAAAUUGUCCUUGUUUGUGCAGAACGCUGUAACCUUAAACAUUGGAAUGCAUCAUGUAA